GGGCUUUAUUUUUGCGACUUCGAUGCAAACGGAAGCUGCGGCUUUGGAGGAGAAGCUUUAUAGGGUCUCGGUUGUUGAAAAAGGAAACGAAAUCACGGUUUCCCGGGGAUCGCAUCGGCCCGAGCUGAGUCCUCGUUGGGUACGAACCGAGGAAGAAGAGAGGGGGUGCUGUCCCACGGGCCCCACGCAUCAUAGGAAGAAGGGCGGGACCCGACUGUCGGCCAGAGAGAGGGGAAGGGGAGAAGGGCGCGCGCUGGGCUGCGGGGACUGCUGGGCCGGGGAAGGGGAAGUGGGCUGAGCGAGGGGGGGGGAAAGAAAGAGGCCAGGGGGCUGGCUGGGUUUGCCCCUUUUUUUUUCUUUUCUUUUUCUUUUCUGUUUUUUUUCCAAAACCCUUUUCCAAAUGAGCCUUUGAGCAAAGAAUAAAUAAAAUGAAAACAGACAAACAACACAAAAAUAACUAUGCUCCAGCAUGAAUGGAUAUACAGUUUCUAAUCUUAUGAUAAAUUUUAAUUUCAAUAAAAAUUAUUUAUUUACUAAAUUAAAUGCCUAAAAAAUACUUAAAUAAAUCAAAUUAAUUCCUAUUAAUUAAAAACAAAUUUUUGGGUGUUACAGAAAGGGAGAUGGUGGAAAUGUAGAAACAUGAAUAAGAUUGAUGAAGUGAUCUUGGAAACCCUGCCUAUUGUAACACCCUAAAUUUUGCUUCUUUGAAAAUAGAGCUAAAAUAAUUUAUUUUGUAUUUCUGUGCUCAUGAAAAUAUAGUAAAAUGAAAUUUUCCUUAAAUUAAAAUUCAUCAUAGGGUUUAGCAACAUUGUUGUGCAUACAUGCUGGUACAUAUGUUUUAUGUGAUGUUUGUUUGUUGUUCCUUUGUGUGUUGAGAGUGAACAAAGUUUUUAAAAUGCGUUUAGUAGAUUCGAUCUUCCUUAACCUGUACAUCUCUAUCUUUAUCACCGAUCGAAUUCCUUGUUGCUCUGCUCAAGUUUUUAUUAGGAGCUUCCUAAAAUCUUUUCUUGGUCACCCAAACCGCUUCUUUUGAUUUCUCAUUCAUCAAGCAGUCUCUACAAACUUUUUGGAAAUUUUUCAGCUUCCGUUCUCACUUUUCUGUUAGCAUAAUCUAAUUUUUAGAUGCUCCAAAUUAUCUCAUCAUGAGCUCCAAAUACUUUAUUUGGGUUCUUCAUGUUUCAUAAUAUCUCUGAUAGUUUUCUCCAAAUUUUUAGAGCUUUGGGAUAUUCUUCACGGCUUAAACAAUAAUUCUGGACUUUUCUUAAAUUAUUUUAUUUAUAUAAUUACUUAAUUUCGAAAAUAAUAAGAUAUCUCUUUUUAAUGACUGACGUCUAUAUGAAAUAAUUCUUAUAAAUACUAAAAAAAGCUAGACAUUAGAUAAGAAAAGAAAAAUCUAGGGUUUUGUCUCUGUCCGACGCGCCGCCGCCUCAAAAUCAAGCUGAUAUUUCUUCCAUGCCUCGACGACACGUAGUCUAAGACGGAGUUCUGC
rnacentral:lncRNA from 1 species